AUUUUGGGGGGUGUUUGCUCGAGCAUUGGAGCAGGAAAAUCAACAUUGUCAAUGUUUUGUGAUGGAAUGAUGAGAAACACUGAAGUCAGAUUUCCCAGACCUCCACUGAUGUCUCCAUUGAGGCCCCUCUCUAUGGGCACAAGUGGGCAAGAGCAGGGCAUUUUAGCCUCUAAUCCCAGCUGUGAUGUGGUCAGGAACUGCCAGCAGAAAUUGCCUCUUCAGUUUCAACAGUGCCUACACAGUGCAAGUGCUGAGAAGAUAUGGAGCAAGCUGGUGUCAGCAGAAAUCAGGCCAAGAGGCUGCAUUAAACAAUUGCUGCCUGGACUUUCCUUCAAGGGUUCAGCAGCUCCUGGAUAUACUGCAACACAACUCUUGAUGGAGGUCGUAGGAACUGAUGACACAUCACAGAAUCAUGGAAUCACUAAGAUUGGAAAAGACUGCUAAGGUUAUCCAGACCAACCACCAAACUGUCCCCAUUGUGCCCA
rnacentral:lncRNA from 1 species